rnacentral:rRNA from 1 species
GUGGAUAACCUGCCCUUGGGUCCGGCAUAACCCCGGGAAACUGGGGAUAAUUCCGGAUAACGCAUAUAUGCUGGAAUGCUUUCUGCGUAAAAUGGAUUCGUCUGCCCAAGGAUGGGUCUGCGGCCUAUCAGGUAGUAGUGGGUGUAAUGUACCUACUAGCCUACGACGGGUACGGGUUGUGAGAGCAAGAGCCCGGAGAUGGAUUCUGAGACAUGAAUCCAGGCCCUACGGGGCGCAGCAGGCGCGAAAACUUUACAAUGCGGGAAACCGUGAUAAGGGGACACCGAGUGCCAGCAUCCUAUGCUGGCUGUCCGGGUGUGUAGAAUACACCUGUCAGCAAGGGCCGGGCAAGACCGGUGCCAGCCGCCGCGGUAACACCGGCGGCCCGAGUGGUGAUCGUGAUUAUUGGGUCUAAAGGGUCCGUAGCCGGUUUGGUCAGUCCUCCGGGAAAUCUGACAGCUCAACUGUUAGGCUUUCGGAGGAUACUGCCAGACUUGGAACCGGGAGAGGUAAGAGGUACUACAGGGGUAGGAGUGAAAUCUUGUAAUCCCUGUGGGACCACCUGUGGCGAAAGCGUCUUACCAGAACGGGUUCGACGGUGAGGGACGAAAGCUGGGGGCACGAACCGGAUUAGAUACCCGGGUAGUCCCAGCCGUAAACGAUGCUCGCUAGGUGUCAGGCAUGGCGCGACCGUGUCUGGUGCCGCAGGGAAGCCGUGAAGCGAGCCACCUGGGAAGUACGGCCGCAAGGCUGAAACUUAA